AGCAGCCGCGGUAAUUCCAGCUCCAAUAGCGUAUAUUAAAGUUGUUGCAGUUAAAAAGCUCGUAGUUGAAUUUCGGGAUUGACACAUCGGUCGUGCCUUAAGGGGUAUGAACUGGUGUAGUCAAUUUCUCACCUUCUGGAGAACCGCGAUGCCCUUAAUUGGGUGUCACGGGGAACCAGGACCUUUACUUUGAAAAAUUAGAGUGUUUAAAGCAGGUAUUUUGCUUGAAUACAUUAGCAUGGAAUAAUAAAAUAGGACGGCAUGAUUCUAUUUUGUUGGUUUCUAGGAUCACCGUAAUGAUUAAUAGGGAUAGUUGGGGGCAUUAGUAUUCAAUUGUCAGAGGUGAAAUUCUUGGAUUUAUUGAAGACUAACUACUGCGAAAGCAUUUGCCAAGGAUGUUUUCAUUAAUCAAGAACGAAAGUUAGGGGAUCGAAGACGAUCAGAUACCGUCGUAGUCUUAACCAUAAACUAUGCCGACUAGGAAUCAGACGAUGUUAAUUUUUAAUGUACUUCGUUUGGC
rnacentral:rRNA from 1 species